ACAUAGCUCCCGCCAAGUCCUCGGUGCCCCUUGCCAUUUUCCAGCCGCGCUCCCACGAGGGUCACGGCGGCGGGGAGAGGUGGAGCCGCGAGAGCUCGGCCGGGGGCCCCGCCUGGUGGUCGCGGCCAUGACAGCGGCUCGGGACUGGCUCCUUUUCCGCGCCCCUCCCGCCGGAGGUGAGGGGAAGAUGUCCAUGUCCGGGUUCAAGGGCAAACCGAAGUUACUGGCCUCUAUCUUCCAGGAGAACCAGGAGCCACAGCCGCGGCUCACGCCCCACCGCAACAUUAAGAUUACAAGUGGACACCUGAGUCAGCAGGACCUGGAAUCCCAGAUGAGAGAGCUUAUCUACACGACUCAGAUCUUGUUGUCACCCCCAUUAUUGACAAUCCAAAGGUGCAGAAAGCACUCUGACAAAUGGGCCAAGGUUGCUCGGGUGAUUGGUUUACUGGCUUCGCACAAAACUGAUCUCCAGGAAAAUACACCUGUUGUUGAGGCCUUCCCUAACAGUCCCAGAACUCCUACAUUGCCUGGUGUGCUGACCUAAAGCCCUCAUUAAGACCAGUAACAAAUCAAGCCUAUCUUAUCAACUGACA
ensembl:lncRNA ULK4P3 ULK4 pseudogene 3